rnacentral:lncRNA from 1 species
CAGUAGUUUCACUAAGAUAAAUGUUGUCCUAUAUAUAAGUAUUAGAGAAAUUACAUAUCAUCUACAAGUAUUUAGUUUGAGAAAUAUUUUAUGCCAAAUGUCCCGAAGGUAUAUGGUCAAGUACCAUAGUUUGAACAUGUAAAAAUUAAUAUGAAGGAACAUCUAUGCUACUAAUGGGCCAUUAUCCUCUAUUGGCAUAGGUGGAGGGAGUCGUCACUGAAAAAUUUAUAUCUUUUGAUUUCCCUUCACCAACUUUUAUAUUAAAGAGAAAUUAUGUGAUUGCAUCUGUACAUACAAGAUCGAUGUAAUAUGCUAUCUCACACUAGUAUUCGAUUCUGUCAGUAAUGCUGAUGUAUGUGAUAAUUUAUAUUAGCAAUAGCACUGCUUGCUCAGGUCAUAGUUCCCACAUUCUAUGGAAACUAAUAAUGCUGAGGGCCUGUUCGGAUCACAUAUAGCUCAAAUUCUAGGUUGAUCUUACGAUCUAGUAAAAGGCGAUUAAUUUGCUGGCUCGCUUAGCUAUGUGCAGCUAACGCAAUUGGCUUUUUUUAGAGAAUGGAAAGAGUAUCUGGCUUCAUCCUCAUUGAAGAAUCAGACCACACAAUUUAUUACAGCUUACUUAUAACAAUCCUGGAUAAACAAGGUCCUUGUAAAAAAACAACUCAACACAAUUGGCUCUGAUAGGUCAAACUGCUAGUUAUUAAUAGCCAAGAUAACUAUAAACUAUUAGAAGCCCACCCCAGCCAUGAGUUAACAAACUUCUAAUUAUUGAUGGAUAUAAUUUAUAGGUAAGCAUUCAGUGUGUCAUGUCUGGCUGUUCCCAAUGAAGCAUAUAUAUAGAUGCAUAAGAACAACAAACCUACAUUCAAUAGUAUUGAGUUGAGGGAAACCUAAAAUAAUAUUCAUUGCAACAAGUAUAAAGACCUACCUAAUUUGCAGAACAUUUAAAAACAUGUUUUGCAUAGAUAGAGCCAUCAAUGUAAAUGAAUGGAUUAUUAGAAAAUUUAACGGACACGGUGCACUUAAUUAGCAUAUAGUUUAGGUUGUCCUUGAAUAUUUAAAAUUAUGUUUCACUACAGUUUGUGUUUUGUCCCAUGAACUUUUUGCACAUAUAGUGAUUUUGAUACAUUGAGUGCUGGUGCUAGUUAUAUGAGCCUUUUUUUUGCAUUCUAAGGAUCAAAUAAGAACUUAGAAAGAAAGGGUUACUCAAGUUUAAUAACCAAUUCAAGAACAGCAUACGGCAUACGUUAUCAACAGCCAAACAUAUGAAGUUCUUCUGGGAAUGUAAGAUAAUGCCCUAUAUAUAUAUAUAUAUGUGCUACUGGAUCUGCACAUAAUUAUAUCUAUUUUAUCUAGCUUGUUACCAAAUGACGUUUUGUCACCUGUUUUAGGCAGUUUAAUUAUUAGUAACAAAAGUCUUAUUUGCAAUAAUGCAUAUUACACAUAAAUCAAAAGGGCAUGCUACCAUUGACCGUUAGCUUUUCUAUUUCAUCAUGGUGAUAUGAGUUCGUAGUUGCUAAUAAACAAAUAAAUCAAAUGCCAUGACUUCUGAAAUACCAUUAUAACUAAUGCAUUAACGUUUGUAUUCAUCAAUUUCAAUGUGUACUAAGGAUAUCAAACUUGUCCGUAUAAGAAGGAAACUCAUUGGUGUCUGUCGAUGUAAACAAUUCAAACCAUAGUGUAGUUAUUCCGUUUUGUAGAUAUAUCAGAUAACAAUAUAUAUGACGUUUUUGUAUACAGCUUGUGUACUAGUGUAGUAUAGUAUCUAAUGUACCAAGAAACCGAUGCAUUUCUGCUCUGGCAAUGUAUAUAUGUCUAUUCAAAGAUCUGAAGAAUAGUUUUGCCUACUAAUUUUCAGUGAAGCACUACACAUGAUAUAUAGAAUCAUGACCAAUGUGCAUAUAGACAGUUGAAUCUGACGAAAAUUUUCACUGGAACAAACUGAAACAUUGUUUUCUUUAUUCAGUAUGGAUGUAACGACAUUGAUAUACAUAUGUGAGGGGUUACACAAACAGCACAAGUGCACAAAACGAAGUGAUAUAUAUACCAUCGUCCAAAGAUAUGCCACAAAUAACAUGUGUACAUAUAUUAUUAUACAUACGUACCCCUAGCAUGCAUGCAAAAAGGUUCGCUACGUACAAGACAUGUAUAGAAGUCGAUCUGCUCAUGGAUUAGCUUCUUCACUCCCAACGUCAUGGCCACUUCCGGGCAUGUUUCCAGGGCUGCUCCAGCUAUCAUACUCGGGCCUUGGUAUUGCAUGGUGAUUGUCGACUGACGUCCCCGCCUCUGCGGUGCCCGCCUUCACUUUGUGAACUAAUUCCGCCUUGUGAUGUGCUGCAGUGCAAGCGUUGAGCAUGACCAUUGCAAGGAAAAACAGAGGAAGAAGCUUCAUGGUGAAACUAGCUAGUGAUGAGAUCGUAGUCUUGGAACAGAUAAGAGGAUCGACAGGGAUUGAUCGAGGUGGAAGACAGGAAACAGGAGGCCUAGCUAUGAGUGGUUCCCUACUGAUUAAACCGUGUGUGGUACGUAAUUUAUAGGCAGAAAGUGUUGGAUAUACAGCUGGGUAUAUCAAGACC